UACGUAGGCAGCAAGCGUUGUUCGGAGCUACUGGGCGUAAAGGGUACGUAGGCGGCCCUGUAAGUAUGGUGUGAAAUCUCCCGGCUUAACUGGGAGGGUGCGCUAUAGACUGCGGGGCUCGAGUGUGGGAGAGGAAAGUGGAAUUCCUGGUGUAGCGGUGAAAUGCGUAGAUAUCAGGAGGAACACCAAUGGCGAAGGCAGCUCGCUGGGACGGUACUGACACUGAGACGCGAAAGCGUGGGGAGCAAACAGG
rnacentral:rRNA from 1 species